AUUAUUUAAGAUAAGCCUUAAAACUAAUGGGAGAGUUUUAUUCUGUAACAUUGAUAGAAUAGUUUUCUGCGAGUCAACGAAAAUAAAGUAAACUACACUAGUGAUCCAAUCACCAUGGUGAAGUUUGCCAAAACCAGUCCACUGAAAGCUCUGCUCUUCUAUAGUAUCUUAAUGAUCACCUUGCCAGUUGCAGCUUUCUUCUGUACGCAGGUUUUAAUAUUUCAACUCUUUGGGAUUCCUCCAGGUGAAGGAUAUCUAUAUGCCACGGCUGUCAGUGUCAUCGUCAUCCAUGUCAUUCUAGGCCUCUUUGUGUAUGAAGCAUUUACUGAAGAUGAUAGGACUUCAGUAGUAAUUCAGAAGGAAGAUUAAACUUUUCUAUAGAACUGAGGUUAUGGAAAGAUGAGACGUAGUAAGUUAUGCAAUUUGGAACUGCUCUGUAACAAGCAAGUUUUACCUUGAAACAUCGGACUAUAAAAACUUGAAAUAUUUUGAGAAUGAUGAUUUAUUUGAUUAAACAUUUGAUGUACAUGUAAUUGUGCAAGGUGUGUAUCUGGUUGUGUAAUUUUUAAAACCCCAUUAUCCAUCUGUUUAACCCCAAGUUUAACAGCAUUCCUGGUGUAUCUCGACAACUUGAUAAAGUGGUGAUUUAUAAAGCUAGCACAAAUUGUUGAACAAUCUGUUAAAAAUAGUUUUUUUUUCACAUUGUUGAACAAUCUGUUAAAAAUGGUGUUUGUUUUUUCAGUGAUUUUUUUGAAAUGCUUUGUAAAGUACUCACUAUAGUGUGAAAAUUUUAUACUUUUCUAAAAGUAUUUCUCAGAAUGUUGAAACGGACUAUUGACUAAUUAUUAUUACCUUAGACGUGCGUAGGUUAUGAAAAACCUCUAAUCUAAUUUACAGGUCUUUGUACUUUCUUGUUUUUGUCUGUAACGAGGGAAGAGGACAAUAUGCAUAUGAUUUGUCAUAUGCUUAAAAAUAGAUAUAAUGAUAUAGGUGCAAGUUAACACUAUACCAGGUUGUAUUUUAUUACAGUACUGUCCAAUGUACAUGUACAUUAUUGUACAUAUUCCAAUAAAUUAUGUAAGCAUUAUAGUUUUA